GAUUCCCUUAGUAACGGCGAGCGAAAAGGGAAAUGUCCAGCGCCAAGUCUUGACAUCUAUGGUGUUCAAGAGAUGCGGCGUUAAUGUAUCGACCCAUCAUGCAUUGUUCCACAUUUCAAGUUCCUACGACCGGGACUUCCAGAGCGGGUGUAAGACCCAUAGAGAUGAGGAACCAGUGUAUGCUGAGCGAUGCAUUCUAGAGUCAGGUUGCUUGAGAGUGCAGCUUAAAGUCGGUGGUAAACUCCAUCCAAGACUAAAUACUACAGCGAGACCGAUAGCAAACAAGUACCGUGAGGGAAAGUUGCAAAGCACUUUGAAGAGAGAGUUCAAAAGUACGUGAAACCACUGGGAGGCAAACAGAUGGAACCACGAAGUGUGCGCCUCGGUCGAUUCAAUCAACACUUUUGAUCAGUUGUGGCUAAUCAGGAUCUCUUCGGAGAUUGAUUUUCAACAAUUAUGAUUAAAGGUGUUGGUGCAUUUCGUGCCGAGGAUGCAAAGCCACGUUCAACUAGASGGUUGGGACGGCUGUAAGAAAGAAUCCGAGAAAGGUGACCGUCAAGUGCUUGCAUUUGACGGCGUUAUAGUCUUGGAUUGGCACCGUCACCUAACAUACUGGUUGAUAAAAUUUCUCCAUUUGGAGUUGAACCAUAUCUGCCUGUAAUUGUUAGUCGAUGUUGCGUAAUGUUCUUUGCGUAUCUUUCGAUGCGAAAAGACUUUGCAAAAAUGUCGGCUAAUGGUUGCUUGCGUGAUAUGGUGGAACUGUGGCGUGAGUAGGUCGGUCUCCAUCUGACCCGUCUUGAAACACGGACCAAGGAGCCUAUCAUAUACGCGAGUCGCUCGGUCUUGUUUAGGCCUGGGAGGCGUAAUGAAAGUAAAGUUACGAGGCUUCGGCUGCAGUAACGGCUCGCCCACUUCGUUUAUUGGCGAUCUGGCGAAGCUGGAGCGUAUACGAUGGUACCCGAAAGAUGGUGAACUAUGCCUGGGCAAGACGAAGCCAGAGGAAACUCUGGUGGAGGUCUGUAGCGAUUCUGACGUGCAAAUCGAUCGUCAGACCUGGGUAUAGGGGCGAAAGACUAAUCGAACCAUCUAGUAGCUGGUUCCCUCCGAAGUUUCCCUCAGGAUAGCAGGCAUUUAUUAUGUGCAGUCUCAUCCGGUAAAGCUAAUGAUUAGAGGUCUUGGGGUUGAAACGACCUCAACCUAUUCUCAAACUUUAAAUGGGUGAGAUGGUUGACUUUCUUGAUUGAAGCCAACCAUUUGGAUGCAAAUGCCUAGUGGGCCAUUUUUGGUAAGCAGAACUGGCGCUGUGGGAUGAACCAAACGUCGAGAUAAGGCAUCAAAUGCGUACGCUCAUCAGACCCCAUGAAAGGUGUUGGUUGCUAUAGACAGCAGGACGGUGGCCAUGGAAGUCGGAAUCC
rnacentral:rRNA from 1 species